GUGCCAGCAGCCGCGGUAAAACGUAGGUGGCAAGCGUUAUCCGGAUUCACUGGGCGUAAAGCGCACGCAGGCGGCCCGGUGGGUAGGGCAUGAAAUCUCCUGGCUUAACUGGGAGAGGUUGUCCUAUACCGCCGGGCUUGAGGCUGGGAGAGGGAAGUGGAAUUGCCGGUGUAGUGGUGAAAUGCGUAGAGAUCGGCAGGAACACCAGUGGCGAAGGCGGCUUCCUGGCCCAGUUCUGACGCUCAAGUGCGAAAGCUAGGGGAGCGAACGGGAUUAGAUACCCUAGUAGUCC
rnacentral:rRNA from 1 species